CGAUGAAACCGCCCUCGGGCGGACAUGAAGUGGCGAACGGGUGAGUAACACGUGACCAACCUGCCCCUUGCUCCGGGACAACCUUGGGAAACCGAGGCUAAUACCGGAUACUCCUCGCCCCCCUCCUGGGGGGCCCGGGAAAGCCCAGACGGCAAGGGAUGGGGUCGCGGCCCAUUAGGUAGUAGGCGGGGUAACGGCCCACCUAGCCCGCGAUGGGUAGCCGGGUUGAGAGACCGACCGGCCACAUUGGGACUGAGAUACGGCCCAGACUCCUACGGGAGGCAGCAGUGGGGAAUUUUGGCGCAAAUGGGGGGAAACCCUGACGCAGCAACGCCGCGUGCGGGGACGACGGCCUUCGGGUUGUAAACCGCUUUCAGCAGGGAAGAAAUUCGACGGUACCUGCAGAAGAAGCUCCGGCUAACUACGUGCCAGCAGCCGCGGUAAUACGUAGGGAGCGAGCGUUAUCCGGAUUCAUUGGGCGUAAAGAGCGCGUAGGCGGCCUCUCAAGCGGGAUCUCUAAUCCGAGGGCUCAACCCCCGGCCGGAUCCCGAACUGGGAGGCUCGAGUUCGGUAGAGGCAGGCGGAAUUCCCGGUGUAGCGGUGGAAUGCGCAGAUAUCGGGAAGAACACCGAUGGCGAAGGCAGCCUGCUGGGCCGCA
rnacentral:rRNA from 1 species